rnacentral:rRNA from 1 species
GACGAACGCUGGCGGCGUGCUUAACACAUGCAAGUCGAGCGGUAAGGCCCUUUCGGGGGUACACGAGCGGCGAACGGGUGAGUAACACGUGGGUGACCUGCCCUCAGCUCUGGGAUAAGCCUGGGAAACCGGGUCUAAUACUGGAUAUGACUCCAUGACGCAUGUUGUGGGGUGGAAAGCCUUGUGCGGCUGAGGAUGGGCCCGCGGCCUAUCAGCUUGUUGGUGGGGUGANGGCCUACCAAGGCGACGACGGGUAGCCGGCCUGAGAGGGCGACCGGCCACACUGGGACUGAGACACGGCCCAGACUCCUACGGGAGGCAGCAGUGGGGAAUCUUGCGCAAUGGGCGAAAGCCUGACGCAGCGACGCCGCGUGAGGGAUGACGGCCUCGGU